CUCCGCUUUCCAGAUUCUACCAACCCUAAUCCUAAUUCCUUCUUUGCGGCCUCCCAUGGCGCCGGCUGCUGAAGACGGUCUGAAGAAACUCGAGUACCUCUCUCUCGUCUCCAAAAUCUGCACGGAGCUCGAGUCCCACGUCGGGUGCGGCGACAAGGUCCUCGCAGAGUUCAUCACCGAGCUCGGCCGCAGGUCCGAGACGGUGGAGGAGUUCGACGCCAAGCUCAAGGAGAACGGCGCCGAGAUGCCAGACUACUUCGUCCGCACCCUCCUCACCAUCAUCCACGCCAUCGUACCCCCAAAGCCCAAGUCCGCCAAGCCCUCCUCCGACCAGAAUCAAGACAAGAAGAAAUCCUCCGCCUUCCCUGCCCUCUCCCGUCCAGACGACCUCGAACGCGCCAAGGAGCUCCGCCGCGAGAUCGAGCACGACGCCGAGAUGAAGGCCGCGUCUGAAGCCCGCAGCCGCGACGAGCACCACGAUCGUGAUGGCGGCCGAGAUCGGGAGCGGCACCGACAUCGGGAUCGGGACCGAGAUGGAGAUCGGGACCGAGAUCGAGACAGGCGACGCGAUCGAGAUCGAGAGUAUAGGCG
rnacentral:lncRNA from 1 species